rnacentral:rRNA from 1 species
CCUACGGGAGGCAGCAGUAGGGAAUUUUCCGCAAUGGGCGAAAGCCUGACGGAGCAAUACCGCGUGAGGGAUGACGGCCUGUGGGUUGUAAACCUCUUUUCUCAAGGAAGAAGUUCUGACGGUACUUGAGGAAUAAGCAUCGGCUAACUCUGUGCCAGCAGCCGCGGUAAUACAGAGGAUGCAAGCGUUAUCCGGAAUCACUGGGCAUAAAGCGUCUGUAGGUUGUUUAGUAAGUCUGCUGUUAAAGACUGGGGCUUAACCCCAGAAAAGCAGUGGAAACUGCUAGACUCGAGUGUGGUAGAGGUAGAGGGAAUUCCUAGUGUAGCGGUGAAAUGCGUAGAUAUUAGGAAGAACACCAAUGGCGAAGGCACUCUACUGGGCCAUAACUGACACUGAGAGACGACAGCUAGGGGAGCAAACGGGAUUAGAUACCCCGGUAGUCCUAGCCGUAAACGAUGGAUACUAGAUGUUGCACGUAUUAAACCCGUGCAGUAUCGUAGCUAAGGCGUUAAGUAUCCCGCCUGGGAAGUACGCUCGCAAGAGUGAAACUCAAAUGAAUUGACGG